AGUUGUUGCCUGCCUUAUCAUGUUCUUUUUAUUCUCUUUCAAGUGUUUACCACUUUUACAGCAUUGAAUGCUUUGGUGAUUCAAAAAAUUGAUUUUCUUCAAAUUCAUUGGUUUCUAUAUCAUAAGUAGGCAAAAAAAGUUCAAUACUAUAUAUGCAAUUGUCACAAGCAUGAUUCAUUUUCCUUCUUUCCUUCGUUUUUAUUUUUUGGUAAUUACAUUUUCUAACAUUUAAUUA
rnacentral:misc_RNA from 1 species